CAUUUCUGAUUUCUUAUAAAGAGACCAAUAUGAUUUUAUUAUCAAACCACACUAAAAUACACAUACACCCAAAAGUCUAAUCUAAGUUCAAGAGUUCAAGUUUGGAGUUUAGUGCUUUCAAAAUCCAUCUCUUUGCUUGAAUCAAGUUCGCAUAAGUUUUGAGGACGACCCGAUUUGUGGAUUUUCUUUUGCUUGCUAAACUAAGGUAAUCAGGGAUAAUAUGGGGAAUCAGUAAUGAGAAAUUAAUGGAUGUUCAAGAGUAUUUAAAGACUCUUUAUUUUGUUAAAUCAUGUACUUUUGAAUGAACUUAAGACUUAGGGUAUUUUGAGACGUGUAUGUCACCUUGAAUCCUAUCUUAU